GUGGGGAAUAUUGGACAAUGGGCGAAAGCCUGAUCCAGCCAUGCCGCGUGUGUGAAGAAGGUCUUCGGAUUGUAAAGCACUUUAAGUUGGGAGGAAGGGUAGUAACCUAAUACGUUGCUACUUUGACGUUACCGACAGAAUAAGCACCGGCUAACUUCGUGCCAGCAGCCGCGGUAAUACGAAGGGUGCAAGCGUUAAUCGGAAUUACUGGGCGUAAAGCGUGCGUAGGUGGUUCAGUAAGUUGGAAGUGAAAUCCCCGGGCUCAACCUGGGAACUGCUUUCAAAACUGCUGAGCUAGAGUACGGUAGAGGGUGGUGGAAUUUCCUGUGUAGCGGUGAAAUGCGUAGAUAUAGGAAGGAACACCAGUGGCGAAGGCGACCACCUGGACUGAUACUGACACUGAGGUGCGAAAGCGUGGGGAGCAAACAGGAUUAGAAACCCCUGUAGUCC
rnacentral:rRNA from 1 species